UGACCCGAGGGGGGCCCCCACGCCCGCUCUGGCCUCUCAGGCUGAGGCACCUAGGGAGUUGCCCCCCUAGUGGACGGCCUCUCAGGAGAUCCUGACCACCCUCUGGGAACCUGGACUCCUCCAAGCAUCGUCUUUCUCGCCUGCAUCUUCGGAGAGAGGUGCUGAGCCCUUCCUCAUGGAUACGGGGUCCCGGGAGGCAGCCUUCACCAGGGACCUGCCCAGGAAACCAGCAGAUGCCCAGGUCCCGCAGCCGUGGAGAGGACCCAGCAGGUGGCGCGGGGAGAGCCCGGCUCGGCACGUGGUCAGCUCCAAGUCAGCCCUGAAAUGUCCAUUACUCACAAAGAAAAGGAAAAUGCUCAUUUGAAAGAAAUUCUUCUCUUUGUCAAUGCUGAGGCAUUCUCUCAGCCCCAGCCCCACAGUGCUCCAGUGUGUGAAGGGCAACAGCUGACGGGGAAGUUCAGCACAUCUGUGCUGACCAGGGCUGGAGGCGAUGCCAGUCCGUGCAGCUGGGAACGCCUCCUCUGCUAUGGCUGGAGCCACUGCUGAAGGGACUCCACCUGGCACCUAUGCCACCAAUGGCCCCUGAACGGGUAUCUAGGCCCACCCUUAAUAAAGAUGAGCUGCUCAUUCCCA
rnacentral:lncRNA from 1 species